GACAAUGGGCACAAAUGGAGAAGUGAGAAGUAAAUCCUUAUAAUUUGAUGGUGAUUAGGCUAAAUUUUAUUGUUACAAAUUCAAAUUUUAGUAUUAAUAAAUUUCUGGAUCAUCAAUUUGAUUCUAAUAAUUCUCAUCAAUAAUGAGUGAUUCGAUCAAGAGAGAGAAACAAGGAGAUGGAUUUGCAGAACUUCAAUUGACAACAAAUAACAUCAAACAUGAGCCAACCUUAGAGGAAGCGCCAACUACUACUGAGAAAUGGAGAAGAUGAGUGAGUCGAUGAAGAGAAGAGCGAAUGAAAUUACAGAAGACCUAUUACCAACCAAAUCGAGGAAAAGAUAUGACGAUGCUUACAAAAAAUUUGUUCAAUGGCUGAAUGAAGAUGAUAUUAAAGACAAUGGUAGUUUUAUCGUAGUUUUCCUUGAAGAAGGAAAAACUCAUUCGAAGAGAAGCUUCACAAUAACUGAUGAAGAUUGCCCUUUCAGCCCUUGUGAAUUGAUCCGCAAAUACAUAUCACUUCAUCCAUGAACUAUGAUAAGUAAAAGAUUAUUUAUAAAGUACAACCAGGGAAAGUGUUCAUCUCAGCACAUAGGUAAAAAUACUAUAGCUGCUGUGCCAAAGAAAGUAGCUCAGUACCUUGGACUUGAUAAGCCUGAAAGUUAUACCAUCCAUGCACUACAACGAACAUCAGCUUCAAUGUUAGUUGAAGGUGGGGGCGAUUUGCUCACUCUAAAAUGACAUGGAGGCUGGAAAUCAUCUUCAGUUGCUGAGGGCUAUA
rnacentral:misc_RNA from 1 species